rnacentral:rRNA from 1 species
GUCUACGGCCAUGCUACCCUGAACAAACCCGAUCCCAUCUGGUCUCGGAAGCUAAGAAGGGUUGGGCCUAGUUAGUACUUGGAAUGGAGACCACCUAGGAAGACCAGGUGAGGUAGGCG